rnacentral:lncRNA from 1 species
GAUGGGAUAGCAGCAAAGUUGGAGGCAUAGAUGAAGUGCUUGAAUUCUUGGAGCUUUGUUACCAGGAUUUAGAUGAAAUUAAAAAGGGUUGUUUUUUUUACAACUCAUUGUAUCCUGAAGAAUGUGAGAUUUGUGUAGAUUACUUGCUGGAAUGUUGGAGAGCUGAAGGUUUUACUAUGGAUUAUACAAAUGAGUUUAAAGAUGCACGUGGUAAAGGGCAUGCGAUCUUGAAAGAACUCAUUGAUCUCUCGCUGCUAGAGAUAACCGACGGGAGGAAAUUUGUUAAGAUGAACAAAGUGCUUCGAAAAAUGGCCCUCAAAAUGUCAUCACAAAGGAACGAUUUCAAGUUGUUGGUGAAGCCACGUGAGGGACUGAAUGAUUUUCCAAAGAAGGAAAAAUGGGAACAAGCAACUAGGAUCUCUCUGAUGGAUAACCAACUACAAACUUUGCCUGAUACUGAUCUAGACUGUCGCAAUCUUUUAACAUUGUUGCUUCAAAGGAAUUGGUAGCUAAAGAAAAUUCCUGAUUCCUUUUUUGCAUUUAUGCAGAGUCUUCGAGUUCUAGAUUUGCAUGCAAUUGAAAUCCAAUCCCUACCUUCAUCUUUAUCUGAAUUGAUCUACCUCAGAGGGCUCCAUCAAAUUCUUGUAGUUGUCUGAGAGAAUUCAAAUUUGAUAUAAAAGCACUUGUGGAUCUUGAGGCACUUGACAUUCGAGGCACAAAAACCAGUUUACUUCAAAUUGGAGGUCUAGAAAAAGUGAGGUGUUUGAAGAUGUCAUUAUCUAAUUUUGGCAUGGACAGCGAUAUUGAAGGGAAGGUUUCAAGUUUCAAUUCAUUGGAAGAACUCACUAUUGAGGUUUGUUCAUCCAAAUUAUGGUGGGACAAGAUUGUAAACACCGUGAAGAAGGAAGUAGCUGCCUUAGAAAAAUUAACUUCUCUUCGAUUUUGCUUCCCUGAAGUGGACUGUCUUGAGUUGUUUGUCACUACAAGCCCAGUAUGGAAGAAGAAUCCGUGCAUGACAUUUCAAUUUGCCAGUGGUCACCCUGAUUCAACCUCCCCUCAAAUUCUUGAGUCCUUUUGUUAUGCAAGCAAUAACAGCCUCAAAUUAGUCAAUAGCAAUGGUGUGAAUCCCAUAAUGUUGAAGCUGCUUAUGAAAACCUAUGCAUUUGGACUUAUUAAGCACAAGGGAGUUUCAUGAUCUGAUAUUAAUUGCUGCAAUAUUCAAAUUAAACCUUCUAUCAUUUGCACGAUUAUUGCACAUUGAUGAGUUUGACGGGUAAAAGUAUAAUAUUAUAAAGGCUUUUAAACGUACAAAAACUUUUCCAAUUUUUUUUUAAUUCAAAUAUAUUAAAAGUAUGAUUUUCAUAUGCUUUUUAAAUUCCUUACAUAAUAAAGAUUCAAGUACUCUAAUGAGCCAAGUGCAAUUUCUUCUUCAUCUGCAAUUAAAUAGUAUGAAUUUACCACAUUUUUGUAAUGCACAAAAUUUUGGAUUUUUUAUAUUUCCAAUGUUAGAAUUCUGAUAAACUGGUAAUCAAUUAGAUGAUGAUCAAAAAACAAUUAAGUAGCAUGUUGGAAUAUCUCCUUAAUUUCAAUUGGGACACCUUCAUUAAGCAUUUUUUUUUCUUCAAACUUAACUACAACUUCAAAGAUCGAGUUACCUUGUAAGAACAAUACCCUCAGUUUAGGGCAAUCCGGAUUAUCCAGUAGCUUGGAUAUUUUAUUAUUCAUCAAAUGCAUCUCAUUAGCUUCCCCCAUGUCUCAUUUUUUGGUGCAUCCAUGAGUCAUUCUCCAUCUUGUUCAACAAGUAGUUUUGGAUUCAUUUCAGCUUCAUAAAAAUUCUCCAACUCCUUAUAGACUUCAUCUCGCAUUCGGAUUGACUCUCCAUCUCGAAAGCUUUCCAACAAGAGGGCAUUGACAAGAUGUUGAACAACUUGUUUUCCUUCACCGAGUGUUCCAGUUUAGUCUUCUUUCAUUCACCUAUCAAGAAAAUCCACUUUCUUUGCUCCAUCCAUCUCUAGGUAAGAUGCACAAUAUUUUACACAUCUAUUUGCAGUACCUAAAUACCGCAAAACGAAUGCUAGUGCAUUAAAAUAAACAACCAUUGAAAUACAAUCAUACCCCAAAAUGUCAUAUCGAGUCUGCUUCAAUUGGAAGAGUUAAGCAUAGAUGUGAAUCCUGAGGAUGAGAGGUGGAAUGCAGCAACCAUUGAAGAUGUUGUAAAGGAAGUUUGUUGCUUAAUUCGAUUGUGUUUUCCUAAACUUCACUUGCCAAAAGUUUUGCCUUUGAAUGAAUUUAAGAAUGGAUUAUCAUUGAUAAAUCUGUCAUGGAUGCACUUUAGAUUUAUUGUUGGCAAUCAUAUGAAGCGCACAAUAUCCCAGUGGCCACAUGAGUCUUUAAUGAAAUUUGAAGAAUAAGAAAGUUGCUCGAAGUAUGCGAAUGGUAAAGAAAUUCCAAUUGAAAUUAAGGAGGUGCUCCAGCUUUCUACUCCAUUUUUCUCGGAUCGUCACUUAUAUGCAACCAGUUUGUCUGAAUUUUGGAUUGAAAAUAUGAAAAAUUUAAAAUGUUGUAUAUUACAAGAAUGUAAUGAGAUUGAAACCAUUGUAAAUGCAGAUGGUCCAGUUAAAGAUAUUGUACUUAGAUCACUAGAGUACUCGAGUCUACAUUAUAUGAAGAACUUUAGGAGCAUCUGGAAAGGGUCACCACCUUAUUGGAGGGGUCCUCUAGAGUUUCUAAAAGUUUUGGCUCUAUAUUCUUGACCCAAUUUGACUAACACUUUAAAACCAUUUAAAUGUAGAUGAUAAAGAAAUUAUAUUUGACACACAAGAGUACUUGAAUCUUUGUUAUGUAAUGAAUUUAAAGAGCAUAUGUAAAGGGUUACAUUAUUUUAGAGACUUUCACCAUAUUUGGAUAUUAAUAUCUUUCAAAAAGUUUCUAUUAUAUUAUACUUUUAUCCAUCAAACUGAUCAAGAUUGCAUGUGUAAUAUUUGUGCAAUAAUAAAGGACAUAAUUUGAAUAUGGAGUUUAUUUAACAGUGCAACAAUUAAUAUAUGAUUGAAAAGGGUUAGGAGCUUUGGAAAUGCUUGGUUUUGUAAUGACAUGUUCUCUACUCUUUUUUUAAUGUAUAUGUAUUCUCUAAUCGUAGGUUGGUUUCAAACUAAAUAAGAUCUUUACCAAAAAAAAAAUUUCAAAAAAUUCAUCGAACUCUAAAAAUUCUUUUUAAAAGGUUAUGACUUCUUCAUGGAGUUCCCAUAUGAACUUGGAGAAUUUAGUUAUCUUGAGGUACUUGAUUUAGAAAAAACUGAAAUCGUAAAUUUACCUACUGCUCUUGAAAAAAAUAGAAAAUUUAAGAUGCUUGAAGUCUAAUAACAAAGCCUUAGGAAACCAAGAAUUUUCAAAGCUUAUAACUCUUUGAUCAUAUAUUAAUUGCUGCAAUAUUCAAAUUAAGUCUUCUAUCAUUUGCACGAAUAUUGCACAUUGAUGAGUUUGAUGGGUAAAACUAUAAUAUUAUAAAAGCUUUUAAAAUUACAAAACUUUUCCAAUUUUUUUUUAAAUUCAAAUAUAUUAAAAGUAUCAUUUUCAUAUGCUUUUUAAAUUCGUUACAUAAUAAAGAUUCAAGUGUACUCUAAUGAGCCAAGUGCAACUUCUUCUUCAUCUGCAACUAAAUAGUAUGAAUUUACCACAUUUUUGUAAUGCAUAAAAUUUUAGAUUUUUUAUAUUUCCAAUGUUAAAUUCUAAUAAACUGGUAAUACUUAGAUGGUGAUCAAAGAACAAUUAAGUAGGAUGUUGGAAUAUCUCCUUAAUUUCAAUUGGGACACCUUCACUAAGCAUCUUUCUUUUUCUUCAAACGUAACUACAACUUCAAAGAUCGAGUUACCUUGUAAGAACAAUAACCUAAGUUUAGGGCAAUUCGGAUUAUCCAGUAGCUUGGAUAUUAAAUAUUUAACAAAUUUUUAAAGAAAUUAAAAACAUUUCAAAUUCUAACAAAUUUUUGUUCUAUAAAAUAUAAGAGAAUAAUUUUUAAAAAUUGUUUUUUAAAACUAUUUUUUAAAACAUUUGUCGUAAUUAUCACAUCACUUUUUUUUCUCUCUAGGUCAUAUCAAACACUGAACAGAAUAGUAAAAGCCCAAAUACUUUCAUCAUAAUCUUUCCCAUUAUGUUAAUUCAUGGGAAAUGAAGAGGUUAAUUAAGUAUAAUUAGAUCUUAUCAGUGAUUAAAACUGAAGGUGUUUCAACUUUCAAGCUUAAAAUAAAAAGAUGAAUGAAAGUGACAGUGCCCGCUUCAUCGAUGGUUAUGUGUGUUUGGCUGCUGAGAAAAUAUCAGAGAUCGAUCUUUUGAAAGCAAUACUCACCGAACGUCAUCUAGGUCCUCAUCAUCAGAAUAUCACUUGCAUCGUCUCCACCAUCGACGCUGAGUUCCGUAGAAUCCAUGGCACCGAAAGCCCCAGAACCCUCCGCCGGAAACUCUUCUGUCUUCCUCCGCUUCGUUUCCAUGGCUCACUGCACCAGAAGCUGUGAUUGGAGUGGAUAAAGUGUUUGUUCCGAGGUCGAAUCCCCUUUUUGACACCCACGUAUCAUUGGACUCAGUACAUUUUGAAGAUUUCUAUGAGGGGCAUCUUGGUCCUUUUAGAAAUUAAAUAACAAUUUUUGUCUAUACCAGCAGUAAAUCUCUUUUUUGACCCCACAAAUGUGUAUGUUGUUCUAGUCUACUGGCUAUUUCUUUUAUGGGCAAAUGGGUCAACUCCCAAGUCAUGACUUUACCUUCUCACCCCUUCUACUCUAGUUAGAGUCAUACCAACUCGGCUUCAAAUUCGAAUAAAUUUGUAUAAAUGAUUUAAAAUAUAUUAUUAUUAUUAUUAUUAUUAUUAUUAAUUUAUUAUUAUUUUGUUAUUGAUUAUAAUCUUAUAGAUAAAUGUAAUAAGCCUCCCUUCAAGAAGAUGUUUUUAAAAAUAAUUUUUUAUUUUAAUUUUGUAAAAAUUAAAUUAUAAAUUCAAUUUGAAUAAUAUAAAAUCAAUCGAAUUCAAAUCUUAUUAAAAAUAAAAGUAAGUUUAUAAUUACAAAUAAAUUAUUUUUUAAUAACAUAUAAAUAUUAAUAUUAUAAUAAAAAUAUAAAUUAUAUAUUUUUCAUAAAUAUUAUAAAAAUAUGGAUAUUAAUACCUUAUAAAAGUAUAAUUGAUUUAUUUUAUUAAAAGGGCACUAGAAAGCAAAAAGAAGAAGAGAAGAGUAGGAAAAAAAAUCAUUUUAAAUAAUUAAAUUCUAAUUAAGAAAUAACAAAUUAAUUAUAGAUGAAGAUGAAAGGAAGGGGGAGGGAAGGAGAGAAGAAAAAAUAGCAUUUUUUUUAAUUGAAUAUAAUUUGAAAAAACAAUUGAAUUAUAGAGGAAGAUGGAUGGAUUAAUUGACUUUGAUUAAAAAAAAGACAUGAAUAUAGAGAAACACCAAGGGAAGGAUAUAAGAAGAAAAGUCUUAAUUGCCUUUUUUUUUUAUUUUUUAAAAAAUAAAAUUGAAAAUAGAGGAAGUUGGAGGGAAAGUGAAAGGAAGAAGAGGAGAAUAAAAAAAUAUUUUUCUUAAUUGAAUUUCAAUUAAAAAAACAAUUGAAUUAUAAGGGAAGAGAAAGAAAAUGAGGAGAGGAGAAAAGAAAAAAACAUUUUUUCUUAAUUAAUUUUCAAUUAAAAAAAUAAAGGAAAAAACUAAUUGAGGGGUCAAACUAAUCAUCUUUUACUUGGUUUGAUGUUACACUUAACUCAUCCUAAACAAUACACCUAUCUCAUCUUAAAUUAUUCGGAUGGACUCAUUUAAUAAUCGUAUCAGAAUGACCUUAAACAAAUAUAGUUUAUUUAUUUUAUAAAAACCACAAUACGACUCGUUUAACUCAUUUAAUAAAUUAGUUAAAUUGUAUACGAAUAAGUUAUUCAUUUUUCAAAAACUUUAAUGGAUAUUACUAGAAAAAAAAAAAAGGGCCACACUUGCUUUCCUCCUUUUUCUUAAUUGACUCAAACAAAAUUUUAGUGCAUAUUUGACAAUAUUUUUGAAAUAGUUCUCACAUAACAAUUAAACACUUGUUUAAUGAUUUUUUUUUAGAGAAAAAGUCUAUUUUUGGAAAUUUGAAAUGUUGUUAACAUAUUUUUAAUUAAUUUAAAUUUUUUUUUUAAUAAUUGUUAUAUAUGAUGUUAUUUUUAAUCAUUUUUCAUUUUAUAUAAUCAUUUUUAAAACAAUCUCAAAAAAAAAAAAAAACAACUUAAAAUAAUUGAAAUAUGUUAUUAAAAAAAACACUAUAUUUUACAAACAAGUUAAAAAUAAUAUUUUUUAAAAGUUGAAAAAUAUUUAUUUUAUUUUAUUCUUAUCUUUCAUUUAUAUUCUCAACAUAAAAAUCAAACAUCUUUGUUUUCCUUUUUUUCAAAUAUUAAACAGUUUUUUUUCAUCCUUUUUAAAUAUCUAUUUAUAUGCAAAUUGAGAUAGAAAAAAAAUUAUAUUUAAUAAUAUUUUUUUUCCAUCCCAAAGUCAAAGUCGUCUCUUGUAUCUAGCUCAGGGAUUGCUCUUUCUCCCCCCUUUUCUUCUCUGUUGAGGUGGGCAGUGGAAGGAACACCAUUGACGAGAUCUCAUGCUCUGAAUUUGGAUUCUUCAUCCACAUCUCUCCCUCUUAGUUUCCGUCUCUCCAAUCAGGUUCCUUCGGAUCUUUCACAACUAUCUUUUAUUUCAUUUCAUUUCAUUUUAUUUUAUUUUAUUAUUAUUAUUUUUUUUCCUUUUUCCAACUUGGUAUGAAGUAGAAAUUAUUUGCUCUGAUUCUAGUGUUGCUUCUUUGAUUUCAUAACACUACUUUUUUUAGCACCUGCCUCUGGAAAUAUAUAUGAUCCAAGGACUAUUUUUUGAAGUUUUUUACAGCUCAUUGCAAUCUCAUAAUUAAUAAUUGAAAUUUAAAUUAUACAUGAAAUAUAUUAUUUAUCAAUUAUGAUCCUAACUGGAAGCUAAAUUUCUUGACAACAAUAUAUAUAUAUAUAUAUAUAUAUAUAUAUAUAGAGAGAGAGAGAGAGAGAGAGAGAGAGAGAGAGAGAGAGAGAGAGUUUAGGAAUUGUCUAGAAAAUAGUCUCUAGAAUAUUGGGGCAACAUUGUAGGUACUAUACAUGGAAUUGAUAUGGUAGAAAGUCUUUUGAAAUACCAAGGCAAUGUUUGGUUAUCAGAAAGUUUGAAGGAAAAUGCUAGGAAAAGAAAAUAGAGAGAAAAAGUAGAAGGAAAGUAAAAAAUAGAUUUAGAGUUAAUAAAUUAUUUUUAUAUACUACUCAAACUUUUUUCACUUAUUUAACUCUUUUAUAUAAAGAUUAAAUGAUUUAAAAAUAUACAAUUUUCUUACUAAUUUUAAUUAUAUUUGACUUUAUUUUGCAUUUUCCAUGACAAAACCAAACAUGAAAAAACUAUUUUUCUUUAACAUUUUUUUUCUUUUCCUAGAACUUUCCAAGAACCAAACAUAGCCUAAGGAAACAACAUGGUAGAUAUUGUAGGAAAGUUGUAAACCUUAAAAUUUAGAAUGGGUCUUUAUAAAGAAGAGAGACCGGACAUGAAGGCUUGUUAACAAAUAUUGUAUAUUUUCUUAGGGCAAUACAAUUGUAUUUUUCCAAGCUUUUCAAGCGUGUUUGACACUUGAGUUGUGGAGACAAUGUUCGUGUUUGUUUGCAUACACCUCCUGUCUCCUGUUUUUAAAAUCAGAAAAUAGUACUAACUGUUAUAUAAGAUACAAGAAUUCUUAGAAGCUUACAUUGAAAAAGUAAUUGUUUUAAAAAACCGAGGUAUCAAAAAAAUUUUACUACCUUAAAUUUUAGAAUUCUUAAAAUGAUUUUUAAAGACAUAAGGUAAAUUUGUAUUUUUUUUCACGUACAAAAUAAAACAUUAAGGAAGUGUAUCCAACUGGAUACUACCCUUGUGCAUUUUUUUUAAUGGUGAAGCUUUUUUCAGGUUGUUAGAAUUGAUCUUUUGAUGUCAAGGGGAAAGAGACUCAAUACUCUAAUAUCCUUUGUAUACUUCCUUCAAACAUUCUGUGUCAUCCCAAUCUAUGUAAAAGUGAUAGAAGAUGAUCGAUCUUGUUUGUUGCUUGAGAUAUCUUGCGGCCAACCUAAUCUUUAAUGGAUACUCAAACAUUCCAAGCUUUUUGACCAACCAUAACAUAAUUGACAAUAAAUUGUCAUUUUGAGUUCCUACUAAUGCUCUGAAUUGUGUAUUGUUGGUAUCACAAGAAUGACGGAAGAAGCAGCUACAGCAGCAUUAUUUAAGGUAUACGAGAUAGUUGCUCGUGGGAUUGAUCUAAAAGGGAACUAUAAGAGGUUGAGACAGGAAGCAAAAAAGCUCAAGGCCAUAAGGGAUGCUAUAGAGACAGAGAUAAGCAAAGAUCGGAUAACACCAGCCACAAGAGAAUGGAUUGCUAAGGUGAAGAUGAUUGAAAGUGAAGUGAAAGAGCUAAAAACCAAAUACAAAAAUGAAAUGGGGCACCCUUGGAGAUUGGUUCGUAUUUGGGCUUAUGCAAGACUUAGCACAGACGUAGCAGAGAAGUACAACCAAGUUCAUAGUCUUUGGGAGGAGGGAAAUCUUAAAAGGGAAGAGCUCGACGCAGAAUUGCCAGAGCCUGUCAGGAAAAGACAUGCACCUAGAAUUGAAGAGAACUCAGCAUUGCACAUGGCUGUACAAGAAAUAUUGAGCUUUUUGGAGGAUGAACAAAUACAAAGAAUUGGAGUCUGGGGAACAGUUGGAACUGGGAAAACCACAAUAAUGCAGAACUUGAACAAUCAUGAACAAAUUGCUAAAAUGUUUGAUAUUGUCAUUUGGGUGACCGUCUCAAAGGAGUGGAGCAUAGAAAAGUUGCAAGAUGCAAUCAUGCGCCAGCUAAAGUUGGACAUGGAACGUUUUGCUGACAUUGAGGAAAAUGCUCGGAGAAUAUCUGAAGAGUUGAAGGAAAAGAAGUAUUUGGUUCUUUUGGAUGAAGUCCAAGAGAAUAUUGAUCUGAAUGCAGUUAUGGGAAUCCCCAACAACCAAGAUAGCAAGGUGGUGUUGGCAAGCAGAAACAGAUGUGUCUGUUAUGAAAUGGAAGCUGAUGAGCUGAUCAAUGUGAAGCGAUUGUCACCUGCUGAUGCUUGGAACAUGUUCCAGGAAAAAGUCGGUCAUCCAAUUUCUUCCCCUUUAAUUAAACCAAUAGCUGAGCAAGUGGUUAAAGAAUGUGAUGGUUUGCCGCUGCUGAUAGACAGGAUAGGGAGAACCUUUAGAAAGAAGGGGAAAGAUGUUUCUCUUUGGAGGGAUGGAUUGAACCGUCUGCGAAGAUGGGAGAGUGUCAAAACUGAAGGCAUGGAUGAAGUGCUUGAUUUCUUAAAGUUUUGUUACGAAGAAUUGGACAGAAAUAAAAAAGAUUGUUUCUUGUAUGGUGCAUUGUAUCCUGAAGAAUGUGAGAUUUAUAUUGAUUACCUGCUAGAAUGUUGGAAUGCUGAAGGUUUAAUUCAUGAUGCAGAUGAGUUAGUUGACAAUACAAAUGUGUUUAGAGAUGCACGUGACAAAGGGCAUGCAAUAUUGGAUGCUCUUAUUGAUGUAUCAUUGUUAGAGAGAAGUGACGAGAAGAAAUGUGUUAAGAUGAACAAGGUGCUUCGAAAAAUGGCCCUUAAAAUCUCAUCACAAAGCAACGGUUCCAAGUUUUUGGUGAAGCCAUGUGAGGGAUUACAAGAUUUCCCAGACAGGAAAGAGUGGGAAGAUGCAAGUCGAAUCUCUUUGAUGGGUAACCAGCUAUGUACUUUACCAGAAUUUCUACACUGUCACAAUCUCUCAACACUGUUGCUCCAGAUGAAUAAUGGUUUGAUUGCUAUUCCUGAGUUCUUCUUCGAAUCUAUGCGUAGUCUUCGAGUUCUGGAUCUGCAUGGGACUGGGAUUGAAUCAUUACCUUCAUCUAUAUCCUAUCUGAUUUGUCUUAGAGGGCUCUAUUUAAAUUCUUGCCCCCACUUGAUACAACUCCCACCUAACAUGAGAGCACUUGAGCAGCUUGAGGUGCUUGAUAUUCGAGGAACUAAACUUAAUUUACUUCAAAUUGGGAGUUUAAUAUGGUUGAAGUGCUUGCGAAUAUCGUUGUCUAGUUUUUUCAGGGGAAUCCGAACUCAAAGGCAAUUGGGGAGCAUCUCAGCGUUUGUUUCAUUGGAAGAAUUUUGUGUUGAUGAUGAUCUAUCCGAACAAUGUUGGGAUGAAUUUUUAAUGAUUGUCAUGGAGGAGGUGGUUACCUUGAAAAAGUUGACUUCUCUUCGGUUUUGCUUCCCUACAGUGGACUUCCUUAAGUUGUUUGUUCAAAGAAGCCCAGUAUGGAAGAAGAAUUCGUGCUUCACAUUUCAAUUUUGUGUUGGUUACCAGGGCAAUACCUACUCUCAAAUUCUCGAGUCAUCUGAUUAUCCCAGCUAUAACUGCCUCAAAUUGGUCAAUGGUGAAGGAAUGCAUCCUGUAAUCGCGGAGGUACUAAGGAUGACACAUGCAUUCAAAUUAAUUAACCAUAAGGGAGUUUCAACACUAUCAGAUUUUGG